AACAUCUAUUACUAUGGCUGCCAUUAUUAUCGCGCAGGAAACUUCAGGCGAUGGGUGCCUUACACAGCUGGACCCCCAUGUGAAUCCUGUCCUAACAACUGUGUGGACAAACUCUGCAACAACCCCUGUCCUUACAUAGACCAUUACAUCAACUGUCCAAUCUUGAAAAACACCACUGGAUGCAGUAAUGAGCUGGUGAAGGCUUGGUGCCCUGCUUCGUGCACAUGCACCACCGAGAUCAUUCCAAUAGGCUGAAGGCUAAACUGUUGAGUCUGCAAACUUGGGCUUCAGCCCAGUACUGUUCACAUGUUCUUUGUUGGUUCUCUG